rnacentral:misc_RNA from 1 species
AAAGAUUGAAUGGAGAAAAACACUUAGGUAGUUCUCGUACUGAAAAACUAUUAAGAAGUUAUGCAUUGAACAUUGCUCGAACAACACAUUUAUUUUACCACCAUGGAGAUGGAUUUGGUAAGAACCACAAUCAUGAAAUCAAAGAUCAUAUUAUCUCAUUAUUUAUCAAUCCAAUAUUGAUUUAGGAGAUAUUGAACCAUAUUUGGUUCAAAUUUGGUCACAUUGCUCUAAAAUGUAUAUUGUGUUGUACAAG